GACGAACGCUGGCGGCGUGCUUAACACAUGCAAGUCGAGCGGUAAGGCCCUUUCGGGGGUACACGAGCGGCGAACGGGUGAGUAACACGUGGGUGACCUGCCCUCAGCUCUGGGAUAAGCCUGGGAAACUGGGUCUAAUACUGGAUAUGACUCCACGGUGCAUGUCGUGGGGUGGAAAGCCUUGUGCGGCUGAGGAUGGGCCCGCGGCCUAUCAGCUUGUUGGGGGUGAUGGCCUACCAAGGCGACGACGGGUAGCCGGCCUGAGAGGGCGACCGGCCACACUGGGACUGAGACACGGCCCAGACUCCUACGGGAGGCAGCAGUGGGGAAUCUUGCGCAAUGGGCGAAAGCCUGACGCAGCGACGCCGCGUGA
rnacentral:rRNA from 1 species